GAGUUUGAUCCUGGCUCAGGAUGAACGCUGGCGGCAUGCCUAACACAUGCAAGUUGAACGAGAAGUUCUGGAGGGAGUCUUCGGACGAACGAAGGAAUGGAAAGUAGCGAACGGGUGAGUAACGCGUGGGCAACCAACCUUACACAGGGGGAUAACGCAGAGAAAUUUGCGCUAAUACCGCAUAAGCGCACAGUACCGCAUGGUACGGUGUGAAAAACUCCGGUGGUGUAAGACGGGCCCGCGUCUGAUUAGUUAGUUGGUGAGGUAAAAGCUCACCAAGGCGACGAUCAGUAGCCGACCUGAGAGGGUGAUCGGCCACAUUGGGACUGAGACACGGCCCAAACUCCUACGGGAGGCAGCAGUGGGGGAUAUUGCACAAUGGAGGAAACUCUGAUGCAGCAAUGCCGCGUGAAGGAAGACGGUUUUCGGAUUGUAAACUUCUAUCAGCAGGGAAGAAAAUGACG
rnacentral:rRNA from 1 species